GAAAAGCAAAUGUAGGUAUAAGUAACGAUAAAGGGGGUGAGAAACCCCCUCGCCGCAAGACUCAGGUUUCCUGAUCAACGCUAAUCGGAUCAGGGUCAGUCGGGUCCUAAGGCUCAGCCGAACGGCGAGGCCGAUGGCAGAACCGGUUAAUAUUCCGGUACUACCCUUUGGGGUGACGUGGAGACGCAGUCGUGACAAUGCCGCCAGCUGACGGAAUAGCUGGUUAAAGGGUGUAGAAGUUGAUUGUGGCAGGCAAAUCCACCACAAGAUUCGAACCUGACAGUAUGGAGCGUCCUUCCGGACAAUCCAAUAGUGCAUGUAAUCAUACUGCCAAGAAAAUCCGCUAAACAUAACCUUCAGGGUACCCGUACCGCAAACGGACACACGUAGUCGGGUUGAAUAUACUAAGGCGCUUGAGUGAUUCACGGUUAAGGAACUAGGCAAAUUAACCCUGUAACUUCGGGAAAAAGGGUCCCUACCCGUUAGCGGGAGGGCGCAGAGAAUCGGUCCAGGCAACUGUUUAACAAAAACACAGGGCUGUGCGAAGUCGAAAGACGCUGUAUACAGCCUGACACCUGCCCGGUGCUGGAAGGUUAAGAGGAGAUGUCAUCGCAAGAGAAGCAUUGAAUUGAAGCCCCAGUAAACGGCGGCCGUAACUAUAACGGUCCUAAGGUAGCGAAAUUCCUUGUCGGGUAAGUUCCGACCUGCACGAAUGGUGUAAUGAUCUGGACACUGUCUCAACCGUGAGCUCAGUGAAAUUGUAGUAUCGGUGAAGAUGCCGAUUACCCGCGAUGGGACGAAAAGACCCCGUGAACCUUUACUAUAGCUUAUCAUUGAAUUUGGGCACGUGAUGUGUAGGAUAGGUCGGAGGCUUUGAAGCAGGCACGCCAGUGUUUGUGGAGCCGCUGUUGAAAUACGACCCUUCAUUUGUUUGAGUUCUAACUCGUGAUACGAGGACACUGAUUGGUGGGUAGUUUGACUGGGGUGGUCGCCUCCAAAAGUGUAACGGAGGCUUCUAAAGGUGCCCUCAGGACGAUUGGUAACCGUCCGUAGAGUGUAAUGGCAUAAGGGCGCUUGACUGGGAGACAUACAAGUCGAUCAGGUAGGAAACUAGAGCAUAGUGAUCCGGUGUUUCCGCAUGGAAGGGACAUCGCUCAAAGGAUAAAAGGUACUCCGGGGAUAACAGGCUGAUC
rnacentral:rRNA from 1 species